rnacentral:rRNA from 1 species
UACGGGGGGGGGUAAGCGUUGUUCGGAUUUACUGGGCGUAAAGGGCGCGUAGGCGGCGCGGUAAGUCACUUGUGAAAUCUCUGAGCUUAACUCAGAACGGCCAAGUGAUACUGCAGUGCUAGAGUGUGGAAGGGGCAAUCGGAAUUCUUGGUGUAGCGGUGAAAUGCGUAGAGUAUCAAGAGGAACACCUGAGGUGAAGACGGGGUUGCUGGGCCAACACUGACGCUGAGGCGCGAAAGCCAGGGAGCAAACGGG